GUAAGUGUUUAAGGGCGCAUGGUGGAUGCCUUGGCACUGGGAGCCGAUGAAGGACGUGGGAGGCUGCGAUAUGCCUCGGGGAGCUGUCAACCGAGCGUGGAUCCGAGGAUGUCCGAAUGGGGAAACCCGGCACGAGUGAUGUCGUGUCACCCAACGCUGAAUGUAUAGGCGUUGGGGGGGAACGCGGGGAAGUGAAACAUCUCAGUACCCGUAGGAAGAGAAAACAAAAUGUGAUUCCGUGAGUAGUGGCGAGCGAAAGCGGAGGAUGGCUAAACCGUAUGCAUGUGAUACCGGGUAGGGGUUGUGUGUGCGGGGUUGUGGGACCCAUCUUCUCAGUUCUAUCCGACUGGGGGGCAGUGAGAAAAUGUUGUGGUUAGCGGAAGUGGCUUGGGAUGGCCUGCCGUAGACGGUGAGAGCCCGGUACGUGAAAACCCGACGUCUGUCUUGAUGGUGUUCCCGAGUAGCAGCGGGCUCGUGGAAUCUGCUGUGAAUCUGCCGGGACCACCCGGUAAGCCUGAAUACUUCCCAGUGACCGAUAGCGGAUGAGUACCGUGAGGGAAUGGUGAAAAGUACCCCGGGAGGGGAGUGAAAUAGUACCUGAAACCGUGCGCUUACAAUCCGUCAGAGCCCUCGGCUUGCCGUGGGGUGAUGGCGUGCCUUUUGAAGAAUGAGCCUGCGAGUCAGGGACAUGUCGCGAGGUUAACCCGGGUGGGGUAGCCGCAGCGAAAGCGAGUCUGAAUAGGGCGUAUCCGCACAGUAGUGUGUGGUGUAGUGGUGUGUUCUGGACCCGAAGCGGAGUGAUCUACCCAUGGCCAGGGUGAAGCGCGGGUAAGACCGUGUGGAGGCCCGAACCCACUUAGGUUGAAGACUGAGGGGAUGAGUUGUGGGUAGGGGUGAAAGGCCAAUCAAACUCCGUGAUAGCUGGUUCUCCCCGAAAUGCAUUUAGGUGCAGCGUCACAUGUUUCUUGUUGGAGGUAGAGCUACUGGAUGGCCGAUGGGCCCUACUAGGUUACUGACGUCAGCCAAACUCCGAAUGCCGACAAGUCUAAGAGUGUGGCAGUGAGACGGCGGGGGAUAAGCUCCGUGCGUCGAGAGGGAAACAGCCCAGAUCGCCGGCUAAGGCCCCUAAGCGUGUGCUAAGUGGAAAAGGAUGUGCAGUCGCGAAGACAACCAGGAGGUUGGCUUAGAAGCAGCCACCCUUGAAAGAGUGCGUAAUAGCUCACUGGUCAAGUGAUUGUGCGCCGAUAAUGUAGCGGGGCUCAAGCACACCGCCGAAGCCGCGGCAACGUAUUUAUACGUUGGGUAGGGGAGCGUCCUGCAUCCGGUGAAGCCGCCGAGUGAUCGAGUGGUGGAGGGUGUGGGAGUGAGAAUGCAGGCAUGAGUAGCGAAUAGGCAAGUGAGAACCUUGCCCGCCGAAAGACCAAGGGUUCCUGGGCCAGGCCAGUCCGCCCAGGGUGAGUCGGGACCUAAGGCGAGGCCGACAGGCGUAGUCGAUGGACAACGGGUUGAUAUUCCCGUACCCGUGUGUGUGCGUCCCUGAUGAAUCAAUCGUGCUAACCACCCAAAUGGUGGUCCACCAAUCCCUUCGGGGUGCGGGGAUUACCGGCUGCGUGGGACCCUGGUUGGUAGUAGUCAAGCGAUGGGGUGACGCAGGAAGGUAGCCGUACCGGUCAGUGGUAAUACCGGGGUAAGCCUGUAGGGAGGAACGUAGGUAAAUCCGCGUUUCAUUGAUCCUGAGAGGUGAUGCAUAGCCGAGUGAGGCGAAUUCGGUGAUCCUAUGCUGCCAAGAAAAGCCUCUAGCGAGGACAUACACGGCCCGUACCCCAAACCAACACAGGUGGUCAGGUAGAGAAUACUAAGGCGUACGAGUGAACUAUGGUUAAGGAACUCGGCAAAAUGCCCCCGUAACUUCGGGAGAAGGGGGACCCCCAUAUCGUGAAGGCACUUGCUGCCGGUAGCGGGAGGGGGUGGCACAAACCAGUGAGAAGCGACUGUUUACUAAAAACACAGGUCCGUGCGAAGUCGCAAGACGAUGUAUACGGACUGACGCCUGCCCGGUGCUGGAAGGUUAAGAGGACCCGUUAACUCGUAAGGGUGAAGCGGAGAAUUUAAGCCCCAGUAAACGGCGGUGGUAACUAUAACCAUCCUAAGGUAGCGAAAUUCCUUGUCGGGUAAGUUCCGACCUGCACGAAUGGCGUAACGACUUCUCAACUGUCUCAACCAUAGACUCGGCGAAAUUGCACUACGAGUAAAGAUGCUCGUUACGCGCGGCAGGACGAAAAGACCCCGGGACCUUCACUACAACUUGGUAUUGGUGCUCGAUACGGUUUGUGUAGGAUAGGUGGGAGACUGUGAAAUUCACACGCUAGUGUGGGUGGAGUCGUUGUUGAAAUACCACUCUGAUCGUAUUGGGCCUCUAACCUCGGACCGUAUAUCCGGUUCAGGGACAGUGCCUGGUGGGUAGUUUAACUGGGGCGGUUGCCUCCUAAAAUGUAACGGAGGCGCCCAAAGGUUCCCUCAACCUGGACGGCAAUCAGGUGUUGAGUGUAAGUGCACAAGGGAGCUUGACUGCGAGACGGACAUGUCGAGCAGGGACGAAAGUCGGGACUAGUGAUCCGGCACCUCUGAGUGGAAGGGGUGUCGCUCAACGGAUAAAAGGUACCCCGGGGAUAACAGGCUGAUCUUCCCCAAGAGUCCAUAUCGACGGGAUGGUUUGGCACCUCGAUGUCGGCUCGUCGCAUCCUGGGGCUGGAGCAGGUCCCAAGGGUUGGGCUGUUCGCCCAUUAAAGCGGCACGCGAGCUGGGUUUAGAACGUCGUGAGACAGUUCGGUCUCUAUCCGCCGCGCGCGUCAGAAGCUUGAGGAAAUCUGUCCCUAGUACGAGAGGACCGGGACGGACGAACCUCUGGUCUACCAGUUGUCCCACCAGGGGCACUGCUGGAUAGCUACGUUCGGACAGGAUAACCGCUGAAAGCAUCUAAGCGGGAAACCCCCUCCAAGACCAGGCUUCUCACCCAUUUGAGUGGGAUAAGGCCCCCCGCAGACCACGGGAUCGAUAGACCAGACCUAGACACCCAGCAAUGGGCGCAGGGAACUGGCACUAACCGGCCGAAAACUUACAACA
rnacentral:rRNA from 1 species